GACGAACGCUGGCGGCGUGCCUAAUACAUGCAAGUCGAACGCUUCUUUCCUCCCGAGUGCUUGCACUCAAUUGGAAAGAGGAGUGGCGGACGGGUGAGUAACACGUGGGUAACCUACCCAUCAGAGGGGGAUAACACUUGGAAAUAGGUGCUAAUACCGCAUAAGCGCACGGUACCGCAUGGUACAGUGUGAAAAACUCCGGUGGUAUACGAUGGACCCGCGUCUGAUUAGCUAGUUGGUGAGGUAACGGCCCACCAAGGCGACGAUCAGUAACCGGCCUGAGAGGGUGAACGGCCACAUUGGGACUGAGACACGGCCCAA
rnacentral:rRNA from 1 species